GCCUGGGUGGCUCAGUCAGUUGAACGUCCGACUUUGGCUCAGGUCAUGAUCUCACAGUUCGUGGGUUCGAGCCCCACAUCAGGCU
rnacentral:tRNA from 1 species